UAUUUGCUGUGGGUUGCUGUGUGUCUUGUAGACGAAGCCCCGCAUCAUCCAUUUUCUUCCACUGGGCAGAGGACGGAGAGGCCAACGACUACAGAAAUCACUGUUAUUAUACGUAGUGUGCUGUUUGGAGUACGAAGGGACACAGACUGAGAGCUGUCCGUGACCGUGAGUAAACCAUUGGAAACUUUCGUGGUGUAUACUUACCUGUGUCUGUUUUGUCGCAGAGUCAGAGGCGAAAGGGUCCGCCGCCCCGUGGUCUCUACGAAAAGGGCGCCCCCGUCUAGGAAUCGAUCGGCCUAUGGGCAUUGGAGAUAGGGCAGCGCUCGACCCGGUGAAGUGGUGUGGGACCUUUUCGCCCCUCUGCUGACCUACGGAGGAGAACGUGAUACCUACCCAGAAAGUUGUAAACAGCAAAGCCGGUGAGAAAUACUCGAAGUCUCAGUAACAGUGUCUUUGUGUCCUGGCGGCCACCUGUGGAGAGAGAGCAGAACGAAAGUGAACCAUUGAAGAGCAGACUGUGAACGUGAUACCUACCUGAAAAGCUGUAAACAGCAGAGCCGCGGCCACCUGUGGAGAGAGAGAGAACGAAAGUGAAUCAUUGAGGAGCAGACUGUGAACGUGAUACCUACCCAGAAAGCUGUAAACAGCAGAGCCGGUGAGAAAUACUCGAAGCCUCAGUAACAGUGUCUUUGUGUCCUAGCGGCCACCUGUGGAGAGAGAGCAGAACGAAAGUGAAACAUUGAAGAGCAGACUGUGAACGUGAUACCUACCCAGAAAGCUGUAAACAGCAGAGCCGUGGCCUCCUGUGGAGAGAACGGAAAACGAGAAGGAACAUGAGGAAAAUGGACUGUGUGAAGAUACAGUGGUGGUGGAGGAGAGCCUAGAGUGGCCAUUGUUUUAAGUCCCCCGUUCCCCUUCCUUAUUUAAUGCUUUUAAGUAAUUUAAUAAAGGAUAUUUUAAUUUUA